GUAGGGGGCGAGCGUUAUCCGGAUUCAUUGGGCGUAAAGCGCGCGCAGGCGGGCUUGCAAGCGGGGCCUUUAAUCUUGGGGCUUAACCUCAAGUCGGGUUCCGAACUGCAAGCCUCGAGUGUGGUAGGGGAAGGCGGAAUUCCCGGUGUAGCGGUGGAAUGCGCAGAUAUCGGGAAGAACACCGAUGGCGAAGGCAGCCUUCUGGGCCACUACUGACGCUGAGGCGCGAAAGCUGGGGGAGCGAA
rnacentral:rRNA from 1 species